GAUCAUGGCUCAGGAUGAACGCUAGCUACAGGCUUAACACAUGCAAGUCGAGGGGCAGCGGGAUUGAAGCUUUCUUCAAUUGCCGGCGACCGGCGCACGGGUGAGUAACGCGUAUCCAACCUUCCGUACACUCAGGGAUAGCCUUUCGAAAGAAAGAUUAAUACCUGAUGGUAUGAUGAGAUUGCAUGAUAGCAUCAUUAAAGAUUUAUCGGUGUACGAUGGGGAUGCG
rnacentral:rRNA from 1 species